ACUAACAAGAAAUGAGUUGCGCUUUGCCCAUUAGGUUAAGUACUCCUUUGUUGAUUUAUUUUUGAGUCGAAACGACGCAUUUUCUAUAGGAUAUUUUUGCGUCAAAUGUUAGAAUGAUUGUGAAUUUUAGAUGAAUCGGACAGAACCCGGAAGGAAGUGGUCAUGGUGUUUUUAAGCGGUUAUCCCACCAUUUGUCUGAAGUGAGAACCCUGAAGCCCUUCAGUAUUGCCGUUCUCCGGACAGAGAUUUGAACAUGGGACCCCACCUAAUAGAAGCAGGAGUGCUACCCUCUCUACUACCACGCUGUAUAAUUUAUUCAUAAAUCAAUAUCAGACACGCACUUUUCGUUUUCUGAAAAAGAAAAUACAAAAAAAAAAAAGACGAAGUGAAUAUGACCGUUCGUUCUGUAAAUUGCUACCUUACAGUAUUAUAUGUUUCCCUCCGGCGAGGGAAAUGUGUGUCCUUAAUGUUAGCACGGUGAAGGAAGGAUCAGAGUACUUCUUUUCUCCCCUAUCCUCAUGGACAACUGUGUUAAACACAUAAUAAUAAAAUGAUGCAGUCUGUAUUCCACAAGACUUGUACAAUUUUCAUUAAGUGCUAAAUUCAAGGCUUUAAAAAAUAAACCAUCGGAAUAAUAGAUGAUCAAGGGAAUACUGAGAGGAAACAGUUGACAUGCAACUGGGUGGUUUCACCUUUCAUGUAUUAGUCAAGAGAUUCACCUGCCUUGUGUUCUUAGCAUAAAACUGUAGUUUACUACCGUGGCCUUGAUGUCGCCUGUGACUGUCUUACGUCACUCCUACUCCCCAGUCUACCCCUCCAAGCGGGAACAAGCCAUUUGGUGGAGUUCUGUUUGCAUAUCUGUAGUGUUUCUGAGUCCCACGUUAUAAUAUUGUGAUAUUCAGUGAUAUAGUGCAACUUGUUCAUGUACUGAUUUUACAUCCUUGCAGCAAUUGGAUCACGGAAGUUAAAUGUGUUUCCUUUCUCCAAGAUAGAAAGCAGUUUUUUUCUUUUUCAGACAAAGAACUUGCAUAUUACAGAAUCUCACCACGACAUGGUGAUUACGUGGAGACUGCCUGUAUAUGAUUUGCAGAAGCAGAUGAUGUAGAAGUCCUCAGCAAUAAAAGAGGCCGUGAUCAUAAAAUGAAGAAUCUCUAUACACCUGUGACUGCGUCUCAGAAAAAUCAUAUUUGCUGUGGCGGACUUGUGGUAACAAUUGGGUUGCCCUCCAGCUGCUCCUGUCGCAACCCGGAAGUAGGGUUACCAGCCCUCACUGCCAAUGCAUUAUCGAGCAACGUAAAAAGACUGAUAAAAGAGGGACUUCAGAUGAGUUACUUGUAUUUUUUGGGGUAUUGAUUAUGUUGAGGGGCUUUAUGUUUUUUGAGUUAGGAAUUAAUAUUUUGUGAUGUAAUUAAACAAAAUGAGUAAUGGCAUUGAAGUGGGAAAGGAACUGACAUAAAUGUAAUGACUCAUGAAACGAAAUCAAUAUUUUUGUUGUAUGGUACGGUCCUCUUCCUGAUACUUGAGUACGGAAUCUUCAGUAGCUCACAGUGACCUGCCAUUUAUGUAGAAAUCUAGGAUACAAAGGGUAAAAGCUGUACUGGCUAUUCUGGUGUCCAAUGAUCUGUGCACGUCUGCCUGCUGUGUAGCGGUUCGUAAGUAGAGUGUUCAGGGCACGGCUUGUGCAUGGGCAAUAGAGGUGGGGACUUCUAGGCAGAGGGUCUAAGUAAGGCUGGUUGAUUAUCUAGGUAGAGUCAGAUCAGUUUUAGUAUAUGGGAUGCUGUGCAGAUGGACCCAUGCACGGAGGUGAGUGGAUUAGCUUAGCUGUUGCUCCCAGUUAAGAAGAAGUAGGAUAGAUUGAUAGUUUUUGGGGGAGUUUUCGUGUAAUUGUUAAUGUAUUUUGCCAGGUGUUGAGAGAAAACAGAGAGGUGUUGCUCUCCCACGUACAAAAGGCUGUCAUGAAGGAGUGCCUCAAUCAUUGCUGUGAGUUCUUUGGGUGUAGCAUUGUAGUAGAAUGGUAUAAAUUGCUGGUGUUGAAUAACAUCUUGCCACUUUCUUUUUAUUAAUUUUUUAUUUUUGGCUUGAUGUUGCAACAUAAGCAAGCAAUACCAUUUUGACAUGGAACUGUACCUGAGAUGCUGUUAAUGGACCCAGGACAGUCUUCCCCACUGCCGGACAAUUGGGAGGAUCCCAGUGACCGUGGAGUGUGAGAGGAACCAUAUAUAUAUAUAUAAAUAAGUAGGAGAUCGGAAUAUGCUACCGACACUGUAACGGGAACUAUCAACCAUUGAAUGUAAGUUGCAUUUAGUUUUCUCAGGUUAUUUAUCAACUUUCGUGUGGGCUUGGUAUAUACUGUAAAAAUAACGUCGAGGUAGAAGAAGCCACCGACGCCGAAAAUGAAGUAUUAGAAUAUUUUGAACGAUAUGCAGAUGGCAGGGAGAUCUGGGGCCUCAAUCAAUAGAAAAAUUCACGUGGCAGCCAUUGUGUGUGCAAAUUGUAGCAGUGUCAUUAGUGGUAACAUUUUCAAGGAUGUUAAUGAAAUUACAGGCAAUUCUCGGUUUACGAACGAGUUCCGUUCCAAGACGUUGUUCGUUAUACGUUUUUGUUCGUUAUGUGUAUCUUGCAUCCUAAGCUUUUACGAUACGAUUGAGUAAACAAGACAGUAUUAUGUAAGGAAAUUGUUUCUCUGUGGUAGUAUUAAGAUGGUUCUGAACCCACAGACCCUGUGCCACAUGUGGCCCACACACAUUUUUUUUAAUACUGUGUAAUUUUAUAUGAUGAAAAAUAGUUAACCAGAUAUCAGAAAACAAAAUUUGUGAAUGUUGUCAGUGUUUAACAGUAACUAUUACUGUGAACAAGACAUCAAAGCAAGGAACUAGGCUGUGUCUUAACUGAUUAACACCUGAAGGGACGCAUGCAUAUCACAACAACAGAAAUUAAACUGAUGUUAAAAGAUUACUCAAGCAAAGGCAGUAACAAGUAUCUCAUUAAGGAGUGAUAUUUUUAAGGAAAAUUUAGUAAUAUGUUAACCUCUGCAUCAGGAAGUUGGUAGUAUUUGUAAUAAACACCAUUGAAUCUGCAGGUAUAUAGGCAAGGAAAUGUGGCAUUUGGUCUGAUAAAGUUUGAGAACCCCUGAGAUAUAAGUUUUUGAAUGUCAGUUUAGAUCACAUUAUUGUAAAUUCCUUUGCAUGUGAAGACAUUCUUUUGCAUCCUAUUAAUUACAUCUGAACCCCUUAUCUGAUUGUUGUGUUGCCAUGGAAGGUUCUUACUAAAGAUUAUUGACAAAAUAUGAAUGUAGUUUGUGUUGACCGACUGGAACUUUACUCAGUGGGCUGAUCAGAGCAUUUAGUUUGGGGGGGGGGGGGCAAUUAUAAGCCAUACACAAUUGUAGUCGAGAACUAGAGCAAACCAGAAUUUUUCCAUGGACUGGACAGACAUUGAUGAUGCCAUAAAAUUGUCAGUGAACAUAAUUUAAGUCGGCCAUCUUUUAUUUUAAUAAUGGGAAUGUUUUUCCCUUGUUAUUUAGUGUGUAAUUUGUAUGCAUCAAGUCAAAUUGAAUAGUCCUGGAUAUACAGGCCAUUGCAGAGUUUGUGUGACAUUUGUAUGGAGAGAGUCCCAUGACAUAGUGUGUAAUUCAACUACAUUCAGGGUAGUUUGUUAGAAGUCAGAAAUAAAGAGUAAAGUGACUAAAUAGCAAAAAUGCCUAUUGCAUAUUUUUGACUUGUAGUAACUGUCCAUUAAUGUAGGUGAAGUAUCACCUGUAUGUCAGGACAUACUAUAUACUGUUGGUUCUUAAUCUUGCUGACUCAUGGGAAUGGUGAAAGAAUGCUAGAUUUUCCAAGGGCAGGUGUUAUGUGCAUCUCACAUAAUGCAGUGUAGAUGGUAGUGUAACACAUGUAGACUUCAUACAGGCCUUAUGUGGUAUCAAGGUCAAAGGGAUGUCAUAAUUAUGCACAUUGAACAUUUCAGUUAAAAAUCAUGGUUAAGGUAAUGUGAAAUAAUUUGUCAGACAUGUGUAUUCCAAGAAUUAACAACACUCAGCUUUUUUAUUUCUCAUGGGGCAGCAACUGACUCCAAAACUGUGUUCUCUUCAUAUUUAUUCCUCUGUUCAUGUCAGUAAACAUCCCUGAGAUAU